UUGUUUACUCUUUCUGGGUGGCUGGUGAACGGGCAUGUGUGGAGGAAAGCAGCUGGGUUGGUGUGUGCUGUAAACGUUUUCUGAGCUGGUGAGGGAGUGACUACUGAUCCCUGCUGCUUAGUGAGUGAGUCACGGGCCUGAGGGCAGAGCCUGCUACAGGGCGGGGCCCAGUCUGGCCCACAAAGUCCUUCAGGAGCACCAAUGAACAGAUAAAUAUUUUCCUGGCAGUUAUCUGAGCAUUUCAGAGAAGCAAUUACCUCUGAACAAUGCAAAUGGAAAUUCAGGGGAGUGGGAGUCAGAUCAGAUUAUGGCACUGCAUGAGAUGGACCACAGACUGAGGGGUUCCUGGACGCCAGGAAGUUCAGACUCUUCGGGAAAGGGUGGCUGAGGGUGAGGGACCAUGGGUACCAUGGUAGAGUCCACAAGUCCAGCAAGAAAGACUUCCGCCCGAGUAGCAGUCUCAGGGAGAAAAGGGAAAUGCAGAAGGCAAAGAAAGGUUAGAGCCUUCAAUGGGACUCACGCAGCCAGUUCUGGUGUUUUCUUAUUGAGAUCAGCUUGUGGUGAGGAUGAGCAACUCAUCCCCUGUUGGAGGUGACAGUGGAAUCUGGAGAAAGGAGAUGGUUUGCCUAAAGUCACACAGCCUGUUAGUUAUAAACUACAGGUUACAGCAGCCUGAUGUUCACAUCUAGGGUUUAAGGGGAUGAUCUGCUGAGUUUGUUGAAGGUGACUUGCCAUAAAUUGUAAAGAUUGAGUCAACACAAUGUGGAUAGGCAGAUUAUUUCUGAGAGCAUGGGAGGAGCAGGUGGCAAGACUUGUGGAAUUGUUAAUAAGCAGGUUUUGGUGAUAGAAUUGAGCUGGGCCAGGCAACCAACUGGAAAUAAAGAUAGGGUGUGGUUUGGCCUCAAAGAACUCGGGAGCGUAUAUGCAUGCACACGUGUGUGCACAUGUGUGAGUGUGUGUGAAGAGGUGGCUGUUUAGCUUUUAGGGUGGGGAGGAUUAGAGCAUCUCUACUAGAAGACUGGGCUUCCUCCUUGAAAUACAGCAAUACAGGCAUUAACAAAUAAAAGUGGAGAAAAGGGGAAAGAGGAAUUUUCUAGUUGAAAACCAAGGAAAAUGAGUGUGUAUAAUUUUUUAAAACUUUGACCAUAGUCCUUUAAAUUGCUUUGGGGACAAUUUUUAGUGCCCUGCAUAUGAAAAUGUACUCGAUUUCACCAAUUCAAAUAAUUAUUAUAGGAAGUAACAGAAAAGCCUAACCAAAAUGAAUAGGUAAGAAGGUAUAAUGAAGGUAUAAUGAAGAAGUGGACAAAAUGGAAUGCUUAGAAAGAGUAAAGGCUUAUUGUUGCUGAUAGCUCAGAAGGGACCCCAUAUUCCCAACAGGCUGCUGGGAUAUGAUGGGGUGAGGGUGCCAGUCUAGGGAGGACACAUGGCAUAGAAUUCGGUGGAAGGGGCCACAUGAGCAGCAACAGGGUGAAAGUGAACUGGGAAGGACCCAGGAAUCUCCAGGGGUGGACACUCCAUUCCCAGAUAAUGAAAACCUAUGGCAGGAGGAAUAUACCUGAGGCAAGUAGACCAGAGUGAUGAGACGAAGAAGCAGAUAAAGUGGGAAAGUUACAAACGCAGGCACCAAAUGCUGAGGCAGAAACCAACACUUCUAGACUUCCAUUGCUUGAGUGAUGCCUCAGACUCCAGCAUUCUCAGUUCCAGCAGACAUGGCUGCCCACCUUUGGGACCUUGGUCACAUUUGGUUCUUGGGGCUGCCCCUGCACAGCUCUGCCCUCCUGCCAUCUAACUGGGCACUUGUGGCCAGACUUCUGGACAAGACUGUCGGUUCCCUGCAAGCCAGAAAGAGCUUUCACUUAUCUGUGUUCGCCUGGGACUGUAGAUCCUGUAGAUCCCACUGAAUGCCGAAACAUGCAGCUGCCUUUAUUUCUGAGGACUUGGUGAUGAAACACGAAUGAGAGGGUAUUUUUGAAAGAACAGCUUGCACCAAACCACAAUAUAAAAACCAUAAAUCUCUCUCUGAACUAAAAUAACACCACUUCUGGGUGAAUGAAAAUGAUGUACUUCCCGGAAAUCAGACUUAUUCUUAAUUCAUAAAGACCGUUUAGGACUUGGAGUGGAAUCAAUAGAAGUCAAAUUGUAUUCUGCUUCCUGUUUUUCUGUGCUCCAUUUAUGCAAAUGAGUUAAAAUAGGUGUUUAAAAAUAACUUCUAAUGGGCUAUCUCAGUAAUAUGUAGCUAACAGGAAUAGAAAAUAGAAUAGGAAUCCAAUAGAUUUUAGAGCAUUUUUUUAGACACAUGUGGAGCCUGGAUGGAGGGUUAUAAUGGCAGGAGGGAGGGGCGUCUCCUAUGAAUUGGGUUCACACCAGGAUCCAGCUGCUCAGGAGCCUGAACUGCAAAAAGCUGAGCCGAGACACAGAGGCCGACUCCUGGACAACCUCUGUUUGGAUCAAGAUGUUAGCAUGGAUGUAGAGUCCUUAGCAAAGUGCUACAACCAGCAUUGCCAGAUUUAGCAUACAUAAAAAUACAGGACACUCCACUAUUGUAGGAAGCAUGCUUAUACUAAAAAAGGAUUUGUUUAGCUGCAGCUCAAAUGUAACUGGACAUCAUACAUUUUAUCUGAUUGUCAAAUAAAGAAAUGACAACAGCCAACACAAUAG